rnacentral:lncRNA from 1 species
ACUGUAUGAGUACUCAGUUUCUUAAACUGUUAUCUUUAUUCUCUUUCUAUUUGUGUUUAGUACAUGAAAGUUCUGAUCUUUGUCUUUUAAAGUCAUGGGGUUAAUUUUAAUUUUUACAUGCAUGGGUUUUUUUAUUACUACUUAAGAAUUCAGAGCUCAUGAGACUGACUGUUAUUAUUGUAAUUAAGGCUAACCCUUGAUUUAAUUUACAGUUAUGAGUGCAUCUGUGCAUUUUCAGCUACUUUUAUGUUUAUUCUAGUUUUGCUUUUUUGCCAUUUAAGAGAGCAAAGAAAUUGCCUGAUCUAAUCUGUAUUAUAGGACCUCAGUGCCUUUUGAAGAGGUAUGGCUUGAGUGAUGUUGGAAGCUCUUUAUGGUGUGAUCUUGCUAUUUGUGAUUCGAAAUUGGAGUUGCCUUUUAUUUACAUGGUUUAAUCAAUUGAAGUUGUCAGUUGGGUUGGUGUAGAUUAGUUUCUGGUAUUUAAUGCACUUUUGAUUUGGUAUGGGAAUUGAAGCAUGAUCUAUAUCACUAUAUGUUCUGGAUAGGAAAAUUGGGGUUCACAUAUACGAAAGUUUUAGCCUUUAAAUUUUCUUGUACUUUUUAGGUUUUCUCACUAGUUGAUAUUGUUUGCUGCUUUUCUGCUUUGUUCGUGAUUAUUAAUAGCAACGGGAGAAUUCAGAGUUUAUUUAGAAGAACCAGAUCCAGAUGGCUACAUUUGGGGAUAUUGGACUUGCGGCAGCUAUCAAUAUCAUCACUGCGCUGAUCUUUCUCAUAGCUUUUGCCAUACUAAGACUUCAACCUUUCAACGAUAGAGUUUAUUUUCCGAAAUGGUAUCUUAAGAAAUUAAGAGAAAGUCCAUCAAGGUCUGGGACAUUUGUUAGCAAGUUUGUGAAUUUAGAUAUCAAAUCAUAUGUCAAGUUUCUCAAGUGGAUGCCUGAUGCAUUCCAAAUGCCAGAACUCGAGCUUAUUGACCAUGCAGGAUUGGAUUCUGUUGUGUACUUAAGGAUUUACUUGCUUGGGUAUGUAACCUCAGUCCUUUUUUAAUCUAGCAUCACUUGUUUGGAUCUGAAAUUUGAGAUACUUGAUUGAUAAUCUUUUUAAUGGUAUGAUAACAAUGAAAUCCUUUUUUGGGCUAUUCGGUGGUGUGGCCUAAAUUANAAAAAAAAAAAAAAAAGGAAAGAAAAGCUACUCCAAACCGGGUCAUCUCCAGGCCCUAAAGGCUAAAGUACUUGUGCAUUCAAGCCAUGUUGAAUAUUUGUGUAAGUUUUAACAUAAUUUUCCGUAUUAAUUUGAGCGUGAACAAUGAAAUAGAGUAAUAUUAUUGGGAUUGUACUGUUCACCUGCCAAACAUGUACUAAUAAUCACAAAUCUGAGCCACAAGGUGAUAAUCUUAUCCACCAGAUUCUGUGACAACAAAAGCAGAAGCAUCAGUCCUACCGACACACCCUUCAAUUAUUUCAUUCUUGGUUUAAAUUCGGUUGGAAUAGUUCCACAAGACAAAACUGGAUUUUGUAAUCUUGCCUUUGCGCAUAAUAUAUAUUUUAAAAAUAUAUGUAAGAAAUCAAAUCGACUAUUAUUUUGAAACGGAAAGAGAAUAUUAUAACAAUCAUUUUAUUACACUCGAGCCAUAUCUCCGGUUAUAGAAAAAUGACUCCAGAUCUCACAUGUUCGGUAAGUAAUGUCCUAAAUAACAGAUUAGAAAAAAAUGUCCCAAAUACCGGUGAUAAUUUAGAUUUUCAAUUUGAGAUGAAAACGUUAGAUCAUGUAGCGUUUUACUGUUUUAACCUCAGCAAAACGCUACACGGCAUAAAUGAUGGAUAUAAUAACAGUCAAGCCAACACCUAUCAGUUAAAAGUACUCCCUAUGUCCCUCUGGUUAGUUUAUCCGGGAGAUGAGAGUUUGACACGCAUUUUAAUGCUACUUGAAAACAUAGUUUAUGAACUUAUUUUUUAAUUUUUUUCUUUUGAACAAAAAUUUGAUGUUUGAAUUUUUAUACACAAAAAGAAAAUCUUAAAUAUAAGUUAUGAAAUUAUAUUUUAAAAGAGUCUUAAAAUAUUGUCAAGCAGUGAAAAAAAUCAUAAAAAAAAUGAGAGGGACGGAUGGAGCAUGUUAGUACCUCAAAACGUUAUAACAGAGCUUGUUACACCUUUAGUAAAUGAGGUCGUUACAACAGCCUUUGUUGUUAUUAUUACUUGUGCUGUAUUGUCAUUAUUAUUGCUCAAAAAUAUCUCUCCUAAUCUCUCCACUCCACACUCUCAUUUUAUCAUUACCACUGCUUCAACAUCUUCUUAGCUUCUCAAACAGUUACAGACUGUACUUACUGACAUUUACACACACAUGCAUAUAUUCACCAUAGUUGAGACCUUUCUGCUAUAACUAUCUACUGGGGUCUUGAUCACUUUCACUCAGGAAGCUCAGGAGUGUAGCAUUUAUUAAGAAACUGUAUGAGUACUCAGUUUCUUAAACUGUUAUCUUUAUUCUCUUUCUAUUUGUGUUUAGUACAUGAAAGUUCUGAUCUUUGUCUUUUAAAGUCAUGGGGUUAAUUUUAAUUUUUACAUGCAUGGGUUUUUUUAUUACUACUUAAGAAUUCAGAGCUCAUGAGACUGACUGUUAUUAUUGUAAUUAAGGCUAACCCUUGAUUUAAUUUACAGUUAUGAGUGCAUCUGUGCAUUUUCAGCUACUUUUAUGUUUAUUCUAGUUUUGCUUUUUUGCCAUUUAAGAGAGCAAAGAAAUUGCCUGAUCUAAUCUGUAUUAUAGGACCUCAGUGCCUUUUGAAGAGGUAUGGCUUGAGUGAUGUUGGAAGCUCUUUAUGGUGUGAUCUUGCUAUUUGUGAUUCGAAAUUGGAGUUGCCUUUUAUUUACAUGGUUUAAUCAAUUGAAGUUGUCAGUUGGGUUGGUGUAGAUUAGUUUCUGGUAUUUAAUGCACUUUUGAUUUGGUAUGGGAAUUGAAGCAUGAUCUAUAUCACUAUAUGUUCUGGAUAGGAAAAUUGGGGUUCACAUAUACGAAAGUUUUAGCCUUUAAAUUUUCUUGUACUUUUUAGGUUUUCUCACUAGUUGAUAUUGUUUGCUGCUUUUCUGCUUUGUUCGUGAUUAUUAAUAGCAAC